UAUCGCAAGAUAGACAGUGGCGAACGGGUGAGUAAUAGGUAAGUAACCUGCCCUUGAGUGGGGGAUAACACUUCGAAAGAAGUGCUAAUACCGCAUACGAUGCUCUUUCACAAGAAGGAUCAUUAAAACCGCAAGGUGCUCGAGGAGGGGCUUGCCUCCGAUUAGCUUGUUGGUGGGGUAAGAGCCUACCAAGGCAACGAUCGGUAGCUGGUCUGAGAGGAUGUCAGCCACACUGGGACUGAGACACGGCCCAGACUCCUACGGGAGGCAGCAGCAAGGAAUCUUGGGCAAUGGGCGAAAGCCUGACCCAGCGACGCCGCGUGAGGGAUGACGGCCUUCGGGUUGUAAACCUCUUUUCUCAGGGAAGAAUAAUGACGGUACCUGAGGAAUAAGUCUCGGCUAACUACGUGCCAGCAGCCGCGGUAAUACGUAGGAGGCGAGCGUUAUCCGGAUUUAUUGGGCGUAAAGUGGGCGUAGGUGGUCUUUCAAGUCGGAUGUGAAAUCUCCUGGCUCAACUGGGAGGGGUCAUCCGAUACUGUUGGACUUGAGUACGGCAGGGGAAAAUGGAAUUCCCGGUGUAGUGGUGAAAUGCGUAGAUAUCGGGAGGAACACCAGAGGCGAAGGCGAUUUUCCAGGCCGAAACUGACACUGAGGCCCGAAAGCGUGGGGAGCGGACAGGAUUAGAUACCCUGGUAGUCCACGCCUUAAACUAUGGGUACUAGGUAUAGGGAGUAUCGACCCUCUCUGUGCCGAAGCUAACGCUUUAAGUACCCCGCCUGGGGAGUACGGUCGCAAGACUA
rnacentral:rRNA from 1 species